ACGAACGCUGGCGGCGUGCUUAACACAUGCAAGUCGAACGGAAAGGCCCUGCUUGCAGGGUACUCGAGUGGCGAACGGGUGAGUAACACGUGGGUGAUCUGCCCUGCACCUCGGGAUAAGCCUGGGAAACUGGGUCUAAUACCGGAUAGGAGCCAUUUUUAGUGUGAUGGUUGGAAAGUUUUUUUCGGUGUAGGAUGAGCUCGCGGCCUAUCAGCUUGUUGGUGGGGUAAUGGCCUACCAAGGCGGCGACGGGUAGCCGGCCUGAGAGGGUGGACGGCCACAUUGGGACUGAGAGACGGCCCAGACUCCUACGGGAGGCAGCAGUGGGGAAUAUUGCACAAUGGGCGCAAGCCUGAUGCAGCGACGCCGCGUGGGGGAUGACGGCCUUCGGGUUGUAAACUCCUUUCGCUAGGGACGAAGCUUUUUGUGACGGUACCUAGAGAAGAAGCACCGGCUAACUACGUG
rnacentral:rRNA from 1 species